rnacentral:pre_miRNA from 11 species
UACUUUGGUAAUAUAGCUCUAUGAUUUUAAUUAAGGAUCAUAAAGCUAGAUUACCAAAGCA